UACGUAGGCAGCAAGCGUUGUUCGGAUUUACUGGGCGUAAAGGGUGCGUAGGCGGCCUUAUAAGUAUGGUGUGAAAUCUCCCGGCUUAACUGGGAGGGUGCGCUAUAGACUGUGGGGCUAGAGUGUGGGAGAGGAAAGUGGAAUUCCUGGUGUAGCGGUGAAAUGCGUAGAUAUCAGGAGGAACACCGGUGGUGUAAACGGCUUUCUGGACCAUAACUGACGCUGAGGCACGAAAGCGUGGGUAGCAAACAGG
rnacentral:rRNA from 1 species